rnacentral:misc_RNA from 1 species
GCAGGCUCCGUGCUGGUGCAUUGAACUGUCAAUGCUCCAUCCACUUCAAUUCUAUCCCCAAGCGAAGCUCUUUCCUUGUGGGUUUGUGCGGUAUCCUGUGUUGCUUACCAAUGGAAUGGAAUUCAAUGGUUUAGUCCCAAGGAUCUGCCUUGUGCCUUUCAGAGGUGCAUGGCAGACAUGAAGCAAGCAUCGUGUUCCCAGCUUUUACCUAUUGCACUUGCAUAUUGGUCGCUGUGGUCCAUGGUGCCUUUGCUUGUUGUCUUGGAUGCGGAAAGCUAAAUGCUGGCGUGAGGUCUAAUCCUCAAAUCGUCCAAGCACAUUGACCCUUGACUCGAAUGACUGUCGCGCUUGUCUUGAUCUCUCUGACCAAGGCCUCAUCAUGGGGCUUCUGGACGAGGAGGGCUCUCAUGCGGGUGUUGGCGUCUAAAAGGAAGU